CAAGCUCAUGCAUAAGUGGUUCUGCGAUUAGUCACGCUUUUUCAAGAAUUCAAGCUUAUGAUUUAGUUAGCUCGGUGACUAGUCUCGCAUUUUUGUUUAGGACAUCCCUAGCUCGUGUUUAGGAAAAUGGGGAGUUUAUCCAAGUAAAUAGUUUUAGAAAGGGAUGUUGUACUUUUUAUUGACCGAGAUGGGGGUUCUUUUCACAAAGUUCAAAUUAAGUCAUUUUUGUGUAAUUUGGAGAAAAUAUUUAAUUUUGAUAAUAGUGAAAAAUAAUAUUUAAUUUAAGCAAAAUUUUUUUAUAAGUGUAAUUGUUAUACAUACAGGCUCGGUUAAGAGAGAGUUACACUUUACUGAUAAUACUUCCUCAAGUUGUUGAAAUUCCAAGGUCUCAGGACUUAUUUGCCUUCGGGGGUUUUAAGGUAAUAAGCUCCCUUGCCGGCGAGUUUAGUUAUCUUGUAUGACCAUUCCCAAUUUUGACCGAGCUUUCCUUCUAUUGGGUCCUUGGUAUAUCCAACAACUAUUCUCAAAAUGAGAUCUCCAACUAAAAAUUGUUUAUUUUGGACCUUUUGCUUGUAUGUCUUAGCUAACUAAUUCUAGUAGUCUGCCAUUCGUAUCAAUGCAUAUUCUCUUCCUUCAUCAACAAGAUCAAGGUCACAAGCUAAAACUCCCGUAUUAUGACUGACGUGGGUCCACCCUUAUCACAUGUGUCAUUGUGAUCGACUAAUGAGAUCACUCACUAAGACCUACUACUCAACUAGUUUAGGAAUUUUUCUAGCAUUUAAGAAAAUUAUAUUCAAAUACAAUAAUAUAUACAGAAGCAUAUUUUAAAUUUUCCAAAGCCAACGUGACAUACAAAAAUAUACGAAUAGAUUUACAUUCUUCCUGAAUAUAAAUUUGUAAAAAUAUUUGGGUUUAAAUAGGUUGGGAACAAUCUGAAUCGGUUAGAGAAAAAUUGGAUCGGCUCAGGACACAAUAAUAGGUUUUUUGGAAAGUUGGACCAGUCAGAAUAAAGCUGGACAGAUCCAGGAGAAGUUAGAAGAUUUAUUAAAAAAGUUAGACCGGUCAGGGAAAUGCUGGACUGGUCUGGGACAAGACAAAGUUUUUGGCUUGACUUCCAAGCCUAUUUUGAGCUAUUAAACCUCUAAAUUAGGAAUAAUACUUAAAAUAAAAGUUGUUAGCUCAGUGACUAGUCUCGCAUUUUUCUUUAGGACAUCCCUAGCUCGUGUUUAGGAAAAUAGGGAGUUUAUCCAAGUAAAUAUUUUUAGAAAGGGGUGUUGUACUUUCUAUUGACCGAGAUGGGGGUUCUUUCCAAAAAUUUCAAAUUGAGUCAUUUUUGUGUAAUUUAGGGGAAGUAUUUAAUUUUGAUAAUAGUGGAAAAUAAUAUUUAAUUUAAGCAACAAUUUUUUAUAAGUAUAAUUGAUAUACAUACGGGCUCGGUUAAGAGAGUUACACUUUAUUGAUAAUACUUCCUCAAGUUGUUGAAAUUCCAAGGUCUCAGGACUUAUUUGCCUUCGGGGGUUUUAAGGUAAUAAGCGCCUUUGCCGGUGAGCUUAGCUAUCUUGUAUGAUCAUUCCCAAUUUGGACUGAGCUUUCCUUUUGCUGGGUCCUUGGUAUUUCCAACAACUUUCCUCAAAACAAAAUCUCUAACUAAAAUUUGUCUAUGUUGGACUUUUUGGUUGUAUGUCUUAGCUCACUACUUCUAGUAGUCUGCCAUCCGUAUCAACACAUAUUCUCUUCCUUCAACAACAAGAUCAAGGUCCCAAGUUAAAACUCCUGUAUUAUGUCUGAUGUUAUGUCACGCCCCAACCCAUUUAUGCACGUGGGUCCACCCUUAUCACAGGUGUCAUUAUGACCGAUAAAUGAGAUCACUCACUAAAGUCUACUACUCAACUAGUUUAAAAAUUUUUCUAUCAUUUAAGAAAAUUAUAUUCAAAUACAAUAAUAUAUACAGAAGCUUAUUUUAAAUUCUCCAAAGCCAACGUGACAUACAAAAAUAUACGAAUAGAUUUACAUUCUUCCUGAAUAUAAAUUUGUAAAAAUAUUUGGGUUUACAUAGGUUGGGAACAAUCUGAAUCGGUUAGAGAAAAAUUGGAAUUGCUCAGGACACAAUAAUAGGUUUUUUGGAAAGUUGGACCAGUCAGAAUAAAGCUGGACAGAUCCAGGAGAAGUCAGAAGAUUUAUUAAAAAAGCUAGACCGGUCAGGGAAAUGCUGGACUGGUCCGGGACAAGACAAAGUUUUUGGCUUGACUUCCAAGCCUAUUUUGAGCUAUUAAACCUCUAAAUUAGGAAUAAUACUUAAAAUAAAAGUUGUUAGCUCAGUGACUAGUCUUGCAUUUUUCUUUAGGACAUCCCUAGCUCGUGUUUAGGAAAAUAGGGAGUUUAUCCAAGUAAAUAGUUUUAGAAAGGGGUGUUGUACUUUCUAUUGACCGAGAUGGGGGUUCUUUCCAAAAAGUUCAAAUUGAGUCAUUUUUGUGUAAUUUAGGGGAAGUAUUUAAUUUUG
rnacentral:lncRNA from 1 species